rnacentral:rRNA from 1 species
UACGGGGGGAGCAAGCGUUGUUCGGAUUUACUGGGCGUAAAGGGCGCGUAGGCGGCGCAACAAGUCACUUGUGAAAUCUCCGGGCUUAACCCGGAGCGGUCAAGUGAUACUGUCGUGCUAGAGUGCGGAAGGGGCUACUGGAAUUCUCGGUGUAGCGGUGAAAUGCGUAGAUAUCGAGAGGAACACCUGGCGGCGAAGGCGGGUAGCUGGGCCGACACUGACGCUGAUGCGCGAAAGCGUGGGGAGCAAACAGG